UGAGUGUAAGGAAAGCGCUAUAUAAAUGCAAGCCAUUGUUAUUAUUAUUAUUAAAACACUGGAUCAUAUAUCAGAACUAUGGUUAACUAUGCAGCAAACUAAAGGGUUAAAGGUUUUCCUUUUUUCCCUGUGGGAAGGAGGAGUGUCUAUGGACUUUUUAAAAUUUUCAAAACCAUGCUCUUGGCUAUAAUUGUUUACUCCAGAUCUGCCAAGGGUCAACCCAAUUUUAUUUAUGUUUUUGCAACAAAAAGGUUCAACAUACAGCUGUAUUAUAGUGGACACUAAAUCAUAAGUCAUAAGGUUGUCAGAUCAGUUUGAAUCCCCAGGGGUUAUUAAUCUCCCUACAGUGAGCGAGAGAGGGAGUUUUUUCUUGACACUGGAGAUGGUGGAGUAGCCCUCCCUGCCCAUGGUGCCAGAUGAUCGUGCGGAUCGCUGCUGUUUGCGUUAGCGGUGAUGCAUCUUAGAGGGGAGCGCGGUCUAAUCUUCUGCAGUGUAAACACCGCCCUGGAAGGUACUGGAACGUAUCCGCCGUUUGAGCUGUGUGGGGUCAGGGAGAGGCCACGGCAGGUGGUGUAUAUCAGCGUGGAGUUGACGUGUUUCCACUAACUUAUCCAAACAGGAGACGAGCCGUGCGCUGGGGUGGCUGGCGCGGCCACAAGAGGAGGAGGAGGAACCCUCUCUCCCUUCUGCUGUUCUUUCGCUUUUAUCCCCAGUGAAUAACAGCCUCCUGACACUGAAUCCCACGUCAGAAGUUACUGUUGCGUUUCCAGGCCCCUUGAUCCCAACUCCUCGGCAGGGCAGCAAAGCGCUGUUCUCAAAUCACUGGAGCGAGAGCGGUGAGGGUUCACAUCGCCACGGACCCGACGAGACACAAGGGGCCCGACAUGCGAGGGGAAGUGCUUUUCAGCUCUGCAGGUGUAAUGAAGCUGAAGAAUCGACUGUGUGGAAGAGGGGCAGUGAGACGGAAGACAGACCCUUGGAGGACUGCUAAAAGCCUGCCUUCGCUCUCUCCUCCACCCCCUCACCUCUCCCAAGCACAGGAGGACAACGCUGAGGGAUCACAGUCAGUUUUUCUAUAAACAAAAUGGGUCGACUUCAGAAUCAGUGGUAGGUACCAGCGUACCAUAGAUUUGUCUCACUCUAUUUGCACCACUAGCCACCAUCUUUUGAUGUUUAAAAUCACCACUGUCCUGCUUCAGGCUGUCUUUAUUAUCUGACUUUGCUAUGUUUCCACAAUAUCAGGUAGGUAUUUUUCAUCAUCCCGCUCCAUUACUACUAAGAGUAGGUUAUAACAAAAAACCAUGGCAACACAGAAAGAAAUGAAGCCAGAAGUCAAAAGGAAUUGCUCAUUCCCAGUUACAGUACUGCAUUAUUCAUAUUUUAUUAAUCUUUAAGUCCCUUUUAAUUUGAACAUUGUAAAUGUUAUGUGUGAUUCUGCUUCAUUGGGGGUGGGGGUGAAGUAUAAUAAUACUGUGCAUCAGUGAUUUUGUGUAUGCACUUACGGGCUCAUUUCAUGCAACCCCUUCAAUGAUGGUGAAAUAUUAUCAUUACAGAAGUACAAAGGGCUGCACAUGUGUAUAGUUCAUAGCCCACACAUGAAAACCUCCCUGGAGGGUAAAUAUUGCAUUUGCAUUGAAGAGAUGAACUGAUUAAUACGUCUGCCGGCUGUCUGGAAACGUUGGCACAUGAAGUGAACCAGUCAGUCUGAAGUUGCCAUUAUAUUUUCCCCCAUGAAGUGAAAAAGCACUCCCCUGUCUCUCAGGAGGGGUGGACGUGUUUAUCAAAAAAGGUGGACCUACACAUGUCUGUUUACAUCUACCACAUGGCAUACAUGAUAAGGCCUCUUCCAGAGGCUCGGCCCACCUCCCUCUCUAGAUACAUGCUUAGCUCAUAUUCUAUGGUACAGUACUGUAUGUGACGUGUGUGAGGUGCCCUAUUGCAUGCUGGGACAGUGCAGUGUGAACUUUAACAUGCAUGUUGGUCACAGCUUGUGACCAGUUUUCCUUGCUGUGUAUCUGUGAGUGAGGCCCCUGGCCUUCAAGCUCUCCUGAAGCUGGAGAUAAAGCCAAAGUGACAGCCUGGCCCUUUUAAGGAAGAGAAACGAAGGCACUGGCGAUCUGCUUUUCUCUACUCGCUGCCCCUCCAAAAUCUCCUGUCUUUCCUUCUCUCUGUUCUGCUUCACGGCUAUUCCUGGUCAGCAACCUUCCAUUUUCCAUGAGGUCAGAAGGAGUGAAACUAACUAUGCAAAGGGAUUGCCUUCGUCCUUGAUAUAUCAUAGCAGAGAGGCCUUCCAUUAUAGUGAAGACAGGAUGGUUUACACUGGCAGGAAAAGCGGUGAUAAUAUUUUACAACAAAAUGCUUGUGUCCAAACUGUAUUUGCUGCUCUGCUUCAUGGUGGAAUUUUGGAAUGUUUUCUACAUCAGUAGUCAUGCUGGCUGCUAUGGUUUGCAUUUGCAUCGUUUCCACAAAAAUCCUGCAGUAUUAAUUUGCAGUUUGUCACCCAAAGCUGUGUUCUGGCAGUAAUCAAAAGGUUCCCGUAAGAUGCCUGUGGUGUUGCAUUUUGCUUGGUAUUAAAAGAUAAAAUCAUGAUUUUAGGACUGUAUUUUUACAAUGAAGCAAUCUUUUCAGUCUCAACAGACUAGUGGGUUCUCAGAAACAAGGCUCGUUGUGUUGUCCUGAGAGUAAGCACUGUUGGAGAAGUCCAACAGCUCUCUGGCUCUGACUUAGGGCACAUACAAAUAGAUAACCAUCUGAACAUCCUAAAAGAAACCUUUAAAAAAAACAGUGAAGCACUGUUGCUGAGGCUGACAUCUCAAAUGCCUGGUUCAGUAGCCCCAAUGAUGGGGGAGUCCCAGUGUACAUGAGCUGUCAGCCUGUCAACAUUUUAAAGGAACCCUGAUUUCAGCCAUGUAAAGAAGACUCUUUUGUAAACAUGUUCAGAAUUGCCAUUAGGAAAUGGCUACAUGCCUACUCUCAGUUUACAUGCAUAGAUAGAAGAUACAAGCCCAAACAAAUCUGUUUUAUAAGGUACAGAGAAACCACACAGCUUCACUCUCUUCUGUAUUGAAAGUCAUGCCUUUGAUGUGCAUCCACCGGUAUGCAUUGUCUCCCUCUCCCACUCUGCCCCCCCCCCCUCUCUCUGCCUCACAUCAACUCAUCAUAAAUCUGUCUGAAUACAAAACAUAACAUGGAAAGAUGUGAUGUAAUCAGAAAGUUUGCAACGUAAAAGUGGAGCACUUGACUACAGCAUAUUUGAGCCCUUCAUGAAUAGAUGAGGCGAGAUCUUAUUGCCCUGCUCCCCUGGUGUCAGACCACCAGUGUUUUUCUCCUCUUUUGGGAUCCGUUCAGUGGUGAGGGUCAGAAGGGAAUGAUGGUCAGAGGUGAUGGCUGUAUUUGUAGGAUUUGCUUGGAUGUCACAGAUCAGAUUUCUCCUUAGAAGGGUAUGAAAAAUAUAGUGGUUAAAUCCCCAAAAUAGACUCCAGUAAGCAGGUUGACACGUUCCCAACCCCGAAGCCCUUCAGUUAAUCUUGUUUUAUCAUUUUAUCUUUCUGUUUGUACCUCUCUUUGGUUUCAUCUCUUUUUCUUUUGGCAAACAUUGAUAUCAUAACUCUCCCGUGAAAGAAAACAGAAAGGUACAGAACACAUUUCCAUAAACGAAGCAUUACGAAGCUGCAAUGACCAAAUGCCAUUCUUUUCCUAAUGCUCUGUAAAAUAAACAACAAUACUGUUUUCAUCUGAGCAACGAAAGAGACCAUAAAAGGCCUCGAUUGAUGGAGUGUGUGUGUGUGUGUGUGUGUGUGUGUGUGUGUGUGUGUGUGUGUGUACUGUAUAUGCGUGCGUGCGUGCAUGCGUGCACGUGCGUGUGUGUGUGUGUGUAUGUGUGUACUGUAUAUGUGUGCUUGCGUGCAUGUGAAUGUGUGUGUGUGCAUAAUUCAUUGCUCUGGGGAGUGUGAUGCAUUUCCGUGUGCACCUGCUCAUUGUAACUCAUGGACCCUAACCACCCUCCAGCUCCAUACUCACACCACGCCCUCACACACAAACAUGCUGCUCUUACAAAGGUCAGUCCCUCCACAGCAGCCAUAUGAAAAUAAAGUUCUAAAAAAUAAUGAAAAGAGAAGCCUUUGCUUAUUACCGAGAACUUUCUUAAGAAAAAACAAACUAGUCAAGCUUCACUCAAUUUUUUUGUGUGACUGCAUGAUUAAUUAACGCAUCUAACUGAAGUAUGGUAUGUGAAAUGAAUCCUGGGAUGUCACUAGAUAAAUUUGUAAAUUUUGAGGCCUGGUCUCGCAGGACUGUGAGGACUACAGCCACCAGGAAAGAGUUAAAAUGUUCAGGUCUAUUGGUUGGUCAUGCCUGGCUUUUCAGAUCACCAAAGUGACUCCUGAACUAUUCUCAGCAGGUUCAAGUGGACACAGUAAGCUGUGGAACAUCUCAAUAGCAGGCAUGCGAGUGAGUGAACACGGCCCAUUAUGUGCCUGGCAGAGAGAGCCUGCGCACAACCAGAGAAAUUACCUUAAAAGGAACUGCCAUUGUUGCUUUAUUAUAAACACAGUUAAGGCACCUACCCUCCCCUCAGUAGGCCUCCUUUGAAUAACAGCUCACAGGGACAGUCUGUCUCACUACCGAUGUUGACAAUGGUAAAUGAGGUGGCUGGCUGCUGACAUAAAGGACUUCCAAUAUGUUUAAUUAUUUCUUCAUGUCUCCUCCACCCACAGUGAAUGCCAUAUUGUCAAAUCACUGAGGUCAAAGGGCAGACAGUGUGUGUGUGUGUGUGUGUGCGUGUGCAUAUUGGUGGUAAUGGUGGGGGGGGGGGGGGUCUCAUACUCAUUUGUUUCAUUCAUUUCACACCCGGAGGCAGAUGAUCACUUCCACUGGCUGUGGCACUCUCCUUGAUCAGACCCGUGUUACAUUAUUCUAUUCUGUUUCAUCCCUGUCGGUAAAUGAAAAUACCAGACCUCUGCAGUACCCAGUGGGAUCUCCCUGUAAGCUUACAUGAGUUCAUAAAAUUAAAUGGAAUUCUAGCCAAUUCAAAGGAUAUUCUUCAAAUAUUAUGACUGGGAAAAUUGUUUCUAUUGACCUGAUUUUUUCAACACAUAGCCACAAACAUAGACACAAACCCCAUCAUCCAGUAGCUCCCACAAACAUGUAAGAUUAAUUGGAACUUUUCCCCUGUGAUUCAUUCAUGUUUACUAGAAACUUACCUGUGAGUGAUCCUUCCAUUUCAUUCAGUGCCAAAGCAUAAAUAUCAAAGCUGACAAAAACAAAAGUUGUGAAAAAUUCCCUGAAAAAUAAUAACAUGAUCUAUUAAAUAUAGAAGUAGGUUUUUCUGCUUAUUUUCAGGGGAAAAGUCAGUAUAGGUUAUGGAAGAAGUGAAUGUGACCACAUAACAUUUUAAAUAUUUACGUCAAUGCUUUUAUCCAGACAUGGAAUUGCUAUAGAAAUUAUUUAAUAUUUCAUUCCUUACUAAAAAAGAAGAAAAACAAUCUGGAGGACUGGAAACAGGAAAGAAAUGGGAAGAAGCCAAAUUAAAAGCCAAAAGAGGAAGCUUGCUUAUGCGUCUACAGUAGAAAGCCUUGGCAUUUUUAGUUCACAUUAAAGAGAAAAGUCUUGUGUGCCUCAUUUUCAACAGUAAGUUGGAUGUUGUGAAAUAAGGAUGGAGGCUGAGGCUAAGCCUCCAUCCUUUACCAUCCCAGAGUUCAUGCACCUCUGGACCUGUCCUGAGCAUUUUCUCUGAUUUAAUUCUUAGAGCUCACAAUCUGUACAGAAAAGUGUCCCUCCUAAUCUUCACAACAAGGUUACGCCCUUGAUUUUCCCUGUUUAAUCUUCAAAUGUGGGUGUCAUACAGACAGAAAAUGCAAUCAGAAGCUUCUAUUGGAUCACUAUAUUUAAUGGUAAUCGUAAGAAGGACAAUGGUUUUUUAAAAUUUACCCUAGGUGUCUUUCAAGAGUAUGAAAAAAUAACACAGUUAUUUUGCUGAAAUAAUCAGACCAAUAGUCACCACACCCAUAACCUCAUGCCAUAUUUUUUUAACCAUUAGUAAGGUAUCGUAACUUUCUGUCACAGAUUAAAUAAAUAUAUCCAUAGUUACAGUACGCAUCUCCAGAAUGCUUUGGUACAGUAAUUUCAAGGCAAUACUUUUUACUGGAGUAGAUAAGCAGCAUUGGUACACCUUUUUUCAUUCAAUGGAAGCAGGGCUGAGCAGGACAGGGACUGGGUCCAGGAUAGACUUUUUUAAAGUGACCUUAGAAUCUUGAUUUGUGACACUGUUGUUUUUACUGUCAAUGAAGAUUUAAUUCUACCAGUUUAUUUUAUGUUGUUUAUGUAAUGGUAACAACAGAGAAUUUCUCACUGUGUGAAACACUACUGGCACAGCCCUGUUAAUGGGUAAUAUAUUAAGAAUUUCUUUAAGGGCAUUGUCAAAACAACUGGGGCAGGUCUCUGGUCGGUUAUAUUAUAUGUUAGUUCAGUCAUGGCUGCUCCAGUGACAGCACCAUGCAGAAACAGGCAACUAAAAUUGCAAGUAAAAUGUCAUAAUUCUAUUGAGUGGGCAUUGAUAAAAGGAUAUUUAGCUUUUUUUGUCUAUGAAAUGCUGGCCUGACUAUAAUCAUUCCUUCACUCUUUGCAUCUGUCUUUUCAUUUCCUUGUUAUAAUGCCUUUGUGAGACAGUGUCACAGCCCCCGCCCCCCCCAAAAAAAACCCCAAAAAAACAAAAAACAACCAGCAUAUAAUUUGAUAUGAAUAAUAUUUCCCGGGGGGAAAUAUAUGUAUUUAUUAUGAUUAGAAUGAUAUUAAUUAACCACAAAAAUGUGAGAAUGGCAUGAAAAAAUUCAGGUCGGUCCUAUCCCCCACCACACUCUUGCAGACACGGGCUGAGACACAGUGUUCUGGUCACACCACAUAACCCCCCCCCCCC